GUUGAAUGACUAUAAUUGCAUUAGAAUUUUGUAUGAUGAUCAUACUUGACAAUGUGACAGACAUGUGUUCAGUAGUUUUGACAGACUUUGAAACAUCUGCAUUGAGCUAUAUUCAUGUUCCAGUUUAGCAGAUUUCCUUCUGGAACUCUUAUUUGUUGAGUCAGAGAAUAUUUUACUCUUUACUCUUUUUGGAUUAUGAUUGUGUUAAAUUGACAUGAUCUGAUCAGAAUCCCUCAAGGAUUAUAAUUUUCCAGGCUACAUUGCACAAAUAAAAGCAGUCAGGGAGGGAAACCUCUAAAUGGAGUCCCUUGGAGAGGGAGGUGCAGAGAAAAAAAAAAAACAGCUGCUUUUUUGCUUAGACCCUGAUAAACCCAAAAAGACCUUAAACAGGUGAAUAUUUGUUUCUGGUAAUUUAUGAGGAUUUUGACCUGUUGUAGAUCUUAACUGUGACAACAAAGAAUAUUUGUGUUUAACCGCUUUAAAGUCUAAACCGAGCAAGCUAAAAGCCCCCUAUUGACAUUCACGUCCAAGUACAAUAGUUGGCGUCCAUCAGUAAAAAGAGAUCCGGUCUCCAGAUGGUUUUGUUCGGAUCUGUAAGUGACACAGGACAAAUGCUGCUCUUGUUAAAGGAAUGUUGAGCCCAGCUUUUAACUUAAAGAAAAGCCAAUGCCACAGGGACCUCCUGGUGGAAUUUUUGGCAUCUUGGGAGUUGUGGUAGUGGCCGGUCUGAUUGUAGGAGUGGUGGCUACGAUAUGUAUGGUGUACAGGAGAGGACAGAAGCCCCGCACAGAAACAGACAACGAUCUGACUGACCUCCCCCCUGCUCAUAAGCCGGCCCCUCCGCCACCCAAGAAAAAGAGCAGCGACAUGAAAGGCGGCCUGACGUCUGACGAGAUCCAGAACUCUGGUCACAUGGACUGUGAUGUGCAGUAUGCGGAACUGGAUACUACAGCUUUGGCUUCCUCUCCCAGCCCACGAAGCUCUGUGCACACUGGCGGGGACCUUGUCGAGUAUGCAACCAUCCAGCCUAGCUCACACUAACGCAUGCCAUUGUAGGCCUUUCCCCCUAUGACUCUGGCCUCAAGGUACACAGACUGAUGCACUCCUAUGUUUCUUUUCCUCUGUUCGUCCCUCACUCUCUCUCACUGAGCACUGAAUUCCCUCUGUGUUUCCUGUUUGUGUCUUCUUUCUUCUGUUGUUUGCUUUUGCCUUUAUCUAUGUA
rnacentral:lncRNA from 12 species